rnacentral:rRNA from 1 species
UACGAAGGGGGCUAGCGUUGUUCGGAAUUACUGGGCGUAAAGCGCGCGCAGGCGGUUUCUCAAGUCAGUGGUGAAAGCCCGGAGCUCAACUCCGGAACUGCCAUUGAAACUGUGAGACUUGAGGACGAGAGAGGUGAGUGGAAUUCCCAGUGUAGAGGUGAAAUUCGUAGAGAUCGGGAGGAACACCAGUGGCGAAGGCGGCUCGCUGGGCCGGCCCUGACGCUGAGACGCGAAGGCGUGGGGAGCGAACGGG